rnacentral:misc_RNA from 1 species
UCCGGUUUGGCACCGGCAGUCUUCCUAGAGUCCCCGCCAUUACGCGCUGGCAACUAAGAACAGGGGUUGCGCUCGUUGCGGGACUUAACCCAACAUCUCACGACACGAGCUGACGACGGCCAUGCAGCACCUGUCACCUGAUUCCCGAAGGCACUCCAGCAUUUCUGCCGGAUUCCAGGGAUGUCAAGCCUCGGUAAGGUUCUUCGCGUAUCGUCGAAUUAAACCCCAUGCUCCACCGCUUGUGCGGGUCCCCGUCAAUUCCUUUGAGUUUUAAGCUUGCGCUCGUACUCCCCAGGCGGCAGGCUUAUCGCGUUAGCUUCUCAGCCCAAGGGGUCGAUACCCCAGACUAAUAGCCUGCAUCGUUUACGGCGUGGACUAC